rnacentral:tRNA from 1 species
GCCUGGGUGGCUCAGUCAUUUGAGCAUCUGACUUCAGCUCAGGUCAUGAUCUCAUGGUGAGUUCAAGCCCCACAUCGGGCU